rnacentral:rRNA from 1 species
UACGGAGGAUGCAAGCGUUAUCCGGAUUUAUUGGGUUUAAAGGGUGCGCAGGCGGCUUGUUAAGCGUGAGGUGAAAUGUCCGGGCUCAACCUGGAAGGUGCCCCGCGAACUGGCUGGCUUGAAUGCCCCUGCCGUGGGAGGAAUGUGUGGUGUAGCGGUGAAAUGCAUAGAGAUCACACAGAACACCGAUUGCGAAGGCAUCUCACGAAGGGGUGAUUGACGCUGAGGCACGAAAGCGUGGGGAGCAAAC